rnacentral:tRNA from 1 species
GCCUAGUUAGCAUAAAAGCAAUGCAGCCGUUUUGUAAUCGGCAGAAGUAAGUGCGAUACUUGCACCGGGCU